rnacentral:rRNA from 1 species
UACGUAGGUGGCAAGCGUUGUCCGGAUUUACUGGGCGUAAAGAGCGCGCAGGCGGUCGUUCAAGUCGCGUGUGAAAGCCCCCGGCUCAACUGGGGAGGGUCACGCGAUACUGAUCGACUCGAAGGCAGGAGAGGGUAGUGGAAUUCAUGGUGUAGCAGUGAAAUGCGUAGAGAUCAUGAGGAAGACCAGUGGCGAAGGCGGGUCUCUGGACAGUUCCUGACGCUGAGGCGCGAAGGCCAGGGGAGCAAACGGG